rnacentral:rRNA from 1 species
UACAGAGGGUGCAAGCGUUAAUCGGAAUUACUGGGCGUAAAGCGUGCGUAGACGGUUAUUUAAGUCAGGUGUGAAAGCCCCGGGCUCAACCUGGGAAUUGCGAUGGAGACUGCAAGGCUUGAAUCUGGCAGAGGGGGGUAGAAUUCCACGUGUAGCAGUGAAAUGCGUAGAUAUGCGGAGGAGCACCGAUGGCGAAGGCAAUCCCCUGGACCUGUACUGACGCUCAUGCACGAAAGCGUGGGGAGCAAACAGG